ACACUUACCUGGCAGGUGAGGUACCAUGAUCAAGAAGGUGGCUCACCCAGGACGAGGCUCCGGUUGUGCUGACCCCUGUGAAUGUGGGAAUCUUGACUGCAUGAGUUCUGGAAGUGGGGGACUGUGAUCGUCCUCAAGUUCCUG
rnacentral:snRNA from 1 species